rnacentral:rRNA from 1 species
GUGGGGAAUAUUGGACAAUGGGGGGAACCCUGAUCCAGCCAUGCCGCGUGUGUGAAGAAGGCCUUUUGGUUGUAAAGCACUUUAAGCGAGGAGGAGGCUACCGAGAUUAAUACUCUUGGAUAGUGGACGUUACUCGCAGAAUAAGCACCGGCUAACUCUGUGCCAGUAGCCGCGGUAAUACAGAGGGUGCAAGCGUUAAUCGGAUUUACUGGGCGUAAAGCGCGCGUAGGUGGCCAAUUAAGUCAAAUGUGAAAUCCCCGAGCUUAACUUGGGAAUUGCAUUCGAUACUGGUUGGCUAGAGUAUGGGAGAGGAUGGUAGAAUUCCAGGUGUAGCGGUGAAAUGCGUAGAGAUCUGGAGGAAUACCGAUGGCGAAGGCAGCCAUCUGGCCUAAUACUGACGCUGAGGCGCGAAAGCGUGGGGAGCAAACAGGAUUAGAUACCCGAGUAGUCC